CAGACCAGACCACUUAUCCGGCAGGAGCGGGGGACCCACUUGUGCCGUGCCGCCACCGUGCGGAACGGCUCGGGGUGAAGCCGGUUCCCUGUGCGAAGCACGGGGUUCCGGCCGGGCCACUCCAGCCCGAAUCCGACAGCUCACCUCGCAGGCGCCAGGAGAGGACCC
rnacentral:sRNA from 2 species